GUUAAAUAAUUCACUUAGUUUACUGACAAUGCAAAAUCUCAUGCUACCACUUUGUCAAAAAAUAAACCACAGAAUCUAAACUGGAAAUGAGCAAAAUCAUAGGGUAUAUUCUUGUAAUUUCUAUUUUUUUAUUCCACGUAAGCAUAUUUCUCUUCCAUGUCAGUACUUUUCUGUUCCAUAUCAACAUCUUUUAAUGGAGAGAGGAUGGAAAGUCAUCAUUUGCUAACAAUGCAAAACCUCAUAAUACCACUUUGUUACAAAGUGAAUCACAAACCUUGAAUUCAAAAUGAGUGAAACUAUAGGGUAAUUUUUU
rnacentral:misc_RNA from 1 species